AACAUGGAAGACCAUUUUAGCAGCUGAUAUAAAUUGCAAAUGUUAUCCUGUUAAUUAGCAAGUAGGACUUAAGUCAUAAAUAACAGCGUUACAAUAAUGAAGACUUGAAUGUUUGGACUGUUAUAUGGGAGAGAUCAAAGAAAGAAACAUAGCUCCUGAAAUAAGGUGGGCUCUCUUUAACACAGGCUGGUGACAAUCUGCAGCAUUGAUCUCCAGGUCAAAGAUGGCAGGCUGAUAAAAGUCUAGAGCAGCAAAAAAUAUGUGUUACAAGCUGUAAUCUGUAACCUAUAUAUAAGGCUGCUAGAGGAAGAAGAAAUAACACACUGAGAAAAACUACAACAGCAGUUGUAGAGAGAAAUUUAGAAGAGCUGAAGCUCUGAGUGAAAGGCCGUGUGCCAUCUCUGUGUAAGAAAAUAUAAGUAUUGUAGCUGCGUGUUAAUAUUAUCGAAGUUUCAUUGUAAGGCCCAUACACCUUUCCAACAAAGGCCACCAUGGUGUGAAGAAAGGUCCAAGGACCGGUGACGAGGACAUGAAGCUCCGCAAAGUUAUUCAUACCAAUGGCACAAGGUACUGCUGGGCGAGUUGUACAAAAUGUUUAGGACUACCGAGAUGUGGUAAGAGCUUCAGAAUACCAGCUACAACACAAAUUAAUGUAUGUUAGCCUUAUUCAUAAUUCCGAAAGAUGGUCCAAGAUUGCUUCGCAAUUGCCGGGAACAACUUCCGAAAGGAAUUCUUCCGGGCAUAUGUGAAGCAAUCUUAGACCACGUGUCGGAAUUAUGUAUAAGGCUGACAUACGUUAAAAAAUAAUCACCGGCUUCUAAUUUCUCCGUUGCCGAAAUCCCAUUUGUUUUGGGCAAUGACAUUCUCAUCCCUUGGAUCUGAGUUAGAAGCUGAUCAAGUUAUGAUGACUGACGUUAUUAGUAUUCAACACUCGUCAAGCUUUGAAAGAUGGUCAUGAUUCUCUGAUCUAUCAGUAUCUGAAACUGGUCAGUAUGUGAAGAUUCAGGAUCGAGAAAACAAUCAAUAUCCUAAAGAUGUCUUCUAUUCUUGGAAAGUAGAAAGGAUUGUUUUGUUGGUUACUGAUUUAUAGUAUCUUAACUAUCAAUUUAGAUAUAUGUAUAGAAUGUUAUUAUAUAUUGACAAACCAUAUCUUGUAAUUGAUAGAGCUUCUGUGUCGUAUAUGAACAGAAAACCCCCUCCGCCUCCCUCAAUUGUUUACAUUGGGGGACGGGGGUUCGACACACAUUUUAAUACUCCUAGAAAACAUAGUUCAUGAAUUA